GGAUUACAGGCGUGAGCCACUGUGCCUGGCCGGCAAUACCUAAAUUUUUGAGGGGACACAUUUAAACCACAGCGGUUAUCAAAUUGCACAGAGAUUGAUGGCAGUGGUUAGCUUACUUAAAUGAUUUUCUUUUCUUUCUGCUCCUUCCUGCACACUGAUAUUUAAAUGAUGUUAAAGAAGUGUUUAAUUCUUGGUGCAGGGUCCUGGCAAAGUUAGGGAUGAGGUAAAAAAGACUCUGAAGAACUCCAGCCUAAGCCUAACACCCUACUUAUUGGAAAGGAGACUCCAAGAAAGCUUCCUUAGGUCGAGGUAGUGAGUCCAGCCCUGAAGGUGCACAGUCCUCCAAUCAAAUAAGCCCGGAGUGGAGCAGCAUCCUGACAGACACUGAGUCACCUGCUUCCUCCAGCCAAGGACAGAAACACUCUCUCUAGUUGCUAAAGGUUGAGACAAUGCUUGGUGGUUUGGAGAUAUUCGCAAACUUCUUCCCCAAGUUAUUUCAUCUGUGCAUCUUUCUCUUGUUCCAUUUUCCCAGGGCAACGCAAACCAUCUACAUUAACAUAUUCAUUUUCUAGGGCUGCCAUAAAAAAGGCCACAACCUAGGAGGCUUAAAUAUAUUAAAACACAUUGCCUCCCAGUUCUGGAAGCUAGAAGUCUGAGAUCAAGGUGUCAACAGUGCCACAUUCACUCGGUGGGUGCUAGGGAUGGGUCUGUUGCAGGCCUCUCUCUGGCUCUGGGAGCUCCUAGGCUGUGGCAGCACAACUCCAGUCUUCACGUGGCGUUCUCCCUGUGUGCACAUCUGUGUCCAAUCUUCCCUUUUACAAGGACAUCAGUCAUAAUUGAUUAGGAGCCCUGCCCAGUAGGUACCUACUCCAGUGUGACCUGAUCUUAACUAAUGACAUCUGCAAACAACCCUGUUUCCAAAUAAGCUCACAUACUGAGAUACAAGGAGUCAGGACUCAACAUAUGGACUUCAGGGGAUGCAACUUGACCCAUAGCAGUCAAUGUUUCUCAAACCUCAGUCAUUUUUUAGACCACCUUUAUAAUUGUUCUCUUGAAUAAUAUGAGACCUAUACUAUUAAUUUGCCAUUAGCUCUUUUUUUUUUUUACCUAAUACCAUAAUACUGUAUACCAUGAACAGAAAACCAGUAUCACAUGGCAUAAAGAAGUUGAUGAUAAACAUAAUACAUAAAAUACAUUACAAACAUAAAUAAUGUAAUGUAAUAAAUAUAAAAACAUGACUAUUAAAAUAAGUGUUUUGGCCAGCCAUGGUGGCUCACACCGGUAAUCCCAGGACUUUGAGAGGCUGAGGUGGGUGGAUUGCUUGAGCCCUGGAGUUUGUGACAAGCCUGGGCAACAUGGCAAAACCUCGUCUCUGCAAAAAAUACAAAGAUUAGCCCGGGGUAGUGGUGCAUGCAUAUAGCCCCAGCUACUUGGUCGGCUGAGGUAGGAGGAUCACCUGAGCCUGGGAUGUCGAGGCUACAGUGAGUACCACUGUACUCCAGCCUGGGCAACAGAGUGAGACCCUGUUUCAAAAAACAAAACAAAACAAAACAAAACAUAAAUAAAUAAAAUCACUGUUUGCCAAUGUAUUACUCCAAAUCUUUUUCUUAUCUCCUGUAGCUGAAAACUGCCUUUGGAAAAUACAUACUAUAUUUAAUCUUGAUGGGGUCUGAGGGGCAUUUCUAGAAAUUACAUCAAAAGCCAAGAAGGCACUCUCAGCAUGAGAAUCUCAGGCCCUCAUAGGGUGGAAACAGAGAAAGGCUGUGGUCCACUAGGGCUUGGGAGGGGAGGAUGAGGUCUAAUUACUCUACCGACACAGUACACAGAUCAGAGGAUCAGAGAGUGACCUUACAAAUCACAUUUCAUAAAAGAAAAAGUGAGGCCCAGAGAGCUGAAGGCCAGACAGCACCAGGGCCCAGGCUGGAACCUGAUCCCUGAUUCCCACUCUCACAUCAGUGAAGCGAACCCUGCGGUGCGGCAGCUGGAUAGAGCUUCCUGCAGCCGAUUAAAGAUGAGGUUUGCAACGCACCCGGGUUCUGUCUUGAGGCUCAUGACACACCUGGGUGUCGGCAAACUCUUGGCGAUCAGGCAUCUUUCUGAGCUAAUUUUGGUUUAUUCUUAGCAAAAGAGAAAGGUGCUAAGUUUAGCAUAAAGAUGGUGCUUCCAAUUGUCCUCAAACUGUUUGCUAAAGAGAACUAUGUUGUUUUCUGGUUGGUUAGUUUUAUUUUUUGAAAAUAUAGUAGUUGCACGUGGUUAAAAUUCACAUCAUGCUAAAAGGUAUGUGGUAAAAAGUUUUCUUCCCAGUUCUAACUCACAAUAUCCGAAAUCCCCCCUCUGUAGGCCCACAAUUCAUCUGUUUUGCGUAUCCUUCUAGAGCUGUGAAGGUGGAGUAGCAGCUUUAACACAGACACCAAUGAAAUAUCUGAAACAAAUUUCACCAGAAUUAUAUCACUUCUGGGAACAACCCCUCAGUCUCCACGGAUCCGGUGCUUCUACCCUACCCCCUACUUAACUCAUUUUCUUUCUCGUCCUCUUUUAAUUAAAUUUUAGCCUUUUUAAGGUAUUCCAGGUGAAGAAUACUGGAUAGGAAUGGGGCAAGCAGCUGCAGCCACGCCCACUGGCUCAUGAAGGAGAGUCUGGCUGCCCAUACGAGGAGAUCAAUAAAUCUUGUCAGAAUAAGAAUUUGGGAAAGGAGAGAGGUAGAUAAUAACAUUUAUUCAGCACCUACUAUUUGACAGAAACUUUAAAAUAUAACCUCAUAAAGUGGGUGUUUUCAUUUCCAGUUUGUAGAAAGGAACCCAGGGGUGAGAGGUUAUGGAACUGGCCUCAAUCCCCGCUCGUCCGAUUCCAAAGCCCAUGCUCUCUUGUCUGCAUCCUUUUGGGGACGGGAAAUCUGCUGGAAUUACUUCCACUUAAGGGAACAAUUCACAGUAUCAGACAGAUCCGGUUCCUUACAGGAUAGGCUUCAUCUUUAUCUUUGCGGUUCUUCUGCAACUGUACGUGGUCUAGGGAUGCAAUAAAUGCAUGCAUAUUGAGUGCCUGAGAUCACCAAGGAAGAGAGAAGGAGAGAAGACACAGGAUAGAAAACCAGGGAUCAGAAACAUUCAGAAGUGUGGAAGGUCACCUUUGGGGCACGUGAGAUUCGAACCAGAGCCCAGGGAGAAAAGAAGUUCAGGAAGGAGGGUUAACAGCAUGGGCUGCUAUGGAGGCCUGAAGAUCAGCUUCUAGAAGAUGCUGUUGGUGCUGAUGACUGGUGAUCUGUGAGUGGAUUCAGUAAAGUGGCAGAAAGGAAGGCAGAUUGUGUGUGUAUGUGCAUGUGUGUGUGUGUGUGUGUGAGAGACAGAGAGAGAGAAGUGCACUUAAUGCCGAUGUUCACCUCAUGUCUUGUUUUCCGGCUACUGCAACUUGAUGAGGUUACAUUUACCAGGCCUUCAUUCUGAAGCCUGGCAUUUCUCCCAAGAGUGCCAGUUCUGCCUAAUGAGAGCAACUCAAGCGAAUCCACAGGAAAGAAAAAGGAAAGUGACAUUUUAAUUUUAUCCAGGCUGAAACACAACUGUACGCAAGGAAUGUGCCUGUAAUUCUGAAUCAUGAAUGUACCAAUGCCUUGCUUUAUGGAAUAGAAAUGUGCUCUGUCCAAAUUGGCUGUGAGGUGAAUAAACAUUACUUUUCCACUGAAUUCAGCUAUAAAACGACUGGAAAUCUUUCCAUGGGGAUUGGGAAAAAAAAAGAAAAGAAAAGAAAAACAGAGAAACAAACCCACUGCCAGAAGGAAGAGAAGACACAGAGCUGACCAUGGCCGGCUCCUGCAGGGCAGAGGUGACUCCGCGCUUUUCUGGGACCGAUUUGUGUUGCCUUCUUCCAAAUACCCUGAUCUGUAAGGAUUGCUCUAACUUCCUCCUGCUUUGUUUUUCCCUUAAUAGGGAAAUACGGGCUAUUACACCCAGCGGAGCUGGCAUACAAUAUUUUGCUUUGCCUGGGGUCCAUUUGACACAAUGCUGAAUGUUCCUUACGUUCAAGGGUUUUGGCUGCAUAAACUCAGUAAUUCCCUACUUCAUCAGUUAGUAAAUACACAAUUAUAUGUAUCAAGUUUACUCGGACUGGGAGGUGGCACAGCACUGUGCUUUUGCACAUGGGGCUUCACAGCCACAGAGACCUGGGUUUGAGACCCAGCUCUGCCACUUAGCAGCUACGCAAGCUUGGCUCUGUUAAAAUCUCUGGGUUUUUAUGUGAUAGGGAUAAGAUACACCUCGGGGGAUUACAGGAAGCAUUAAAUGAAAUUACAUGUUUGUAUAUACACACACAUACACACACACCUGUGUUUGUAUGCAUACACACCAUGUGUUCGAUGCUUUAUGCUGAAUAUUUACUGGGUACAUAUUCAGCAGGGGUAGUAAUUGUGAUGAUGGUGGUGAUAAUAACAAUACACACACAGAAUCUUGUCCCAGUAGAUUACCCUUUUAUAUUCUGCCACAGAGAUCUAUUUCCAUUGCCCAAAGGCACACAAUUUUCACAGCUUUCUAAAAUCUCAAGCCUUCUACAUUAAUAGUACUAAAAGAAUUUUUUCCCAAUCAGAAGGGCAACAUUUUUAAAUCUACAGAUAAGAAAUGCUACCAUAUGCCUGAGAACCUCCGUCUUCCGCAAGUCACAUCACCGCCCAAGAAUGUACUGUCCAGGGUGUCUCAUUACUUUGUUAGCCAAACAAAAUGUGGCCAGAACUAUGGAAUGUGUGUGCUGGCCCACGUGCACCUGUUUGUACAUAUGAUCACAACUAAGAGGAUCUUUUUACAGAGUAAUGGGAAGGUGUAAGGAAGGGUCUGGAACCCAGGGGGCCGAAAUCCUGACAAGGUCAGUCUUCCCAGCUGGGUAACCUGGGGCAAGUUAUUUAACCUUUCUGUGGCAGUUUCCUCACUUGUAAACUGUGGGGUGAUUAUGCCUCUCUUACAGGGCUUAUCCUGGGGAUUAGAGAAGGAGAUGAAUGUAAAGACCGUGGCACAGGCCAGCAUGCUAGUGAUUCUUCUCUUCCCCUUCUCAGGACACCCCGUAUUGCCUUUACUGGUAAUUCAGACUACAGAAUUUCCUCAAUUUUCAAUACUCGUGGAGAAAUACAGUGGCGCAUAUAUCCAAAUUGCAUAAACUCAGUAGUUUUCAAAACCUGAGUCAUGUGGAGAGUAAUUCUUCUACUCAGAAUGGCAGGAGAUCUGUUCCAGUUACAGUAACUUGACUACGUUGUCAAUAACGAAACUUUAAAGACUAAUCACACAGUGAAAUGUAUUAAUACCAGACAGCCCACUAUUUCAUCUGUAAUUACUACCUUCCAUCCUCCUCUUGCCUGUGGACCCCCAUGACAGGGAUGGAUUUCAGGAUCCAUCACUUAAAUCAGUUCCUCGCAAGUUCCUUCAUUAAUUCAGUCCCUUAAUUCUCUUAUCUGGCUGUCUGCCUUCUCUUGUUUGUGUGCUGAAUGAGCUGAACGCUGCUGGACAAAGCCACACAACUUGGCUGACACUAGAUUUAACUUCUUUUAGGUCAUGAGUUCACACUCCUCGUGGACACUCAACCUUGGUUGGAAAUCCUACCAUGUUUCUAUAAGGUCACUCUUCUCUUUCUGAGAUGACUAUUUCGUACUUUCUUCUCAACCUCCCACAUUCCCUUCCCGCCUCCUAGAAGGUGAUCUUGCUUUAUUCUUUAUUCAGAAAAUAGAAACUGUUAGGGUGACUCUCUCAUCUUUCCAUUUCCAAACAAACAAGUCUCCCUGCAUCUACACCAGCCCACAGGAUCUUCCUUCCUGCAAUGACAGAGGUUGCCCUUCCUACCAAAAGGCUUGUGACCCCAGUGCGUCCCUCCUUAGUGCUUUUCCACCUGUAAUGUGUGUGUGAAUUGCCUGGGGAGUUGUUAAAAUGCACAGUCUGAUUCAGCAGGUCUGGGCCAGGGGCCCAAGAUUCUGCAUUUCUAACCAGCUCCCAGGUGAUGUCAAUGAUCUGAGCAGCAAGUGUACAUUCCCUUCCCUUCUUUCUCUUUUAGGUCAUUUUUAUCAUCAUAAGCAGGCUCUAGUAGCUUCCAUUUUUAAAGCUCCUCCCUUGAUCAAACAUCUCUCUCAAACUACCACCCCAGUCCAUCUCCUUUUAUUUUAUUUAUCUACUUUUUUGAGACGGAGUCUUGCUCUGUCGCCCAGGGUGGAGUGCAGUGAUCUCGACUCACUGCAACCUCCGCCUCCAGGGUUCAAGUGAGUCUCCUCCCUCAGCUUCCUGAAUAGCUGGGAUUACAGGCGCCCGCCACCACGCC
rnacentral:lncRNA from 1 species